rnacentral:rRNA from 1 species
GAUGAACGCUAGCUGGAGGCUUAAUACAUGCAAGUCGAGCGGGAUUGGGUAGCAAUACCCAUGAGAGCGGCGCACGGGUGAGUAACGCGUACACGACCUACCUCUAACAGGGGGAUAACCCUGGGAAACUGGGAUUAAUACCGCAUAUUAUUCUGAAUAAUAAAGGUUUGGAAUGAAAGCUGAGGCGGUUAGAGAUGGGUGUGCGUCUGAUUAGCUAGUUGGUAGGGUAACGGCCUACCAAGGCGAUGAUCAGUAGGGGGCGUGAGAGCGUGGUCCCCCACACGGGUACUGAGACACGGACCCGACUCCUACGGGAGGCAGCAGUAAGGAAUAUUGGUCAAUGGGCGAAAGCCUGAACCAGCCAUCCAGCGUGCAGGAAGAAGGCCCUAUGGGUUGUAAACUGCUUUUAUCAGGGAAGAGACCUCUGGAUUUACUCCGGAGCUGACGGUACCGGAGAAGAAGCCCCGGCUAACUUCGUGCCAGCAGCCGCCGUAACAC